rnacentral:rRNA from 1 species
AGCAGCCGCGGUAAUUCCAGCUCCAAUAGCGUAUAUUAAAGUUGUUGCAGUUAAAAAGCUCGUAGUUGAAUUUCGGGGUUAGUAGGUUGGUCAUGCCUCUGGUAUGUACUGGUCUCACUGAUUCCUCCUUCCUGAUGAACCGUAAUGCCAUUAAUUUGGUGUUGCGGGGAAUUUGGACUGUUACUUUGAAAAAAUUAGAGUGUUUAAAGCAAGCUAACGCUUGAAUACAUUAGCAUGGAAUAAUGAAAUAGGACGUUCGAUCCUAUUUUGUUGGUUUCUAGGAUCGACGUAAUGAUUAAUAGGGAUAGUUGGGGGCAUUAGUAUUCAAUUGUCAGAGGUGAAAUUCUUGGAUUUAUUGAAGACUAACUACUGCGAAAGCAUUUGCCAAGGAUGUUUUCAUUAAUCAAGAACGAAAGUUAGGGGAUCGAAGACGAUCAGAUACCGUCGUAGUCUUAACCAUAAACUAUGCCGACUAGGGAUCGGAUGAUGUUAAUUUUUUAAUGACUCAUUCGGCGCCUUA